rnacentral:piRNA from 1 species
CUGACAACGACUCUAUGGGGGCAUCAGCAUA